CAAGUCGAGUGCGCGGUUGUAGCAAUACAACUGGCGCACGGCGCACGGGUGCGUAACACGUGGGCAAUCUGCCCUUCGAUGGGGAAUAACUCCGGGAAACCGAAGCUAAUUCCGCAUAACAUUCCUUGGACUUCGGUUCGAGGACUCAAAGCCGUAAGGCGUCGAAGGAGGAGCCCGCGCCCGAUUAGCUAGUUGGUGGGGUAACGGCCCACCAAGGCAAUGAUCGGUAGCUGGUCUGAGAGGAUGGCCAGCCACACUGGAACUGAGACACGGUCCAGACUCCUACGGGAGGCAGCAGUGGGGAAUCUUGCACAAUGGGCGAAAGCCUGAUGCAGCGACGCCGCGUGGGGGAUGAAGCAUCUCGGUGUGUAAACCCCUUUCGACCCGGAAGAAUGCCUCGCAAGAGGACUGACGGUACGGGUAUAAGAAGCCCCGGCUAACUACGUGCCAGCAGCCGCGGUAAGACGUAGGGGGCCAGCGUUGUUCGGAAUUACUGGGUGUAAAGGGUUCGUAGGCGGUGUGGCAAGUCGGGAGUGAAAUCUCUGGGCUCAACCCAGAGGCUGCUUCCGAAACUGCCGUGCUUGAGUGUGGGAGAGGCGCGUGGAAUUGCAGGUGUAGCGGUGAAAUGCGUAGAUAUCUGCAGGAACACCCGUGGCGAAAGCGGCGCGCUGGACCACUACUGACGCUGAGGAACGAAAGCUAGGGGAGCAAACAGGAUUAGAUACCCUGGUAGUCCUAGCCCUAAACGAUCAGGACUUGGGGUGCCACCCGUUCGGGUGUCGUCCCGGAGCUAACGCGUUAAGUCCUGCACCUGGGGAGUACGGUCGCAAGACUGAAACUCAAAGGAAUUGACGGGGGCCCGCACAA
rnacentral:rRNA from 1 species